CUAGCCGGGAAAAUGGCGGCUUCGGGAGAGAGUGGUGCUUCUGGCGGCGGAGGUAGCACAGAGGAGGCAUUUAUGACCUUCUACAGUGAGGUGAAGCAAAUAGAGAAGAGAGAUUCAGUUCUAACGUCCAAAAAUCAGAUUGAAAGAUUGACUCGUCCUGGUUCCUCUUACUUUAAUCUGAACCCAUUUGAGGUUCUUCAAAUAGAUCCUGAAGUGACAGAUGAAGAAAUAAAAAAGAGGUUCCGCCAGUUGUCUAUCUUGGUGCAUCCUGACAAAAACCAGGACGAUGCUGACAGAGCACAGAAGGCUUUUGAAGGUAUUUGUACAUUUACCUAUGUUUGAGUAAUAGAGCUGUCGAUGCUAAGGAAUAACUGGUUAUAAAGAGCUGUGGAUUUCAGUAAAGCAGCCAUUUAAGCAGAGUGUUUCCUCGGGGGCUGGGUGUGUAGCUCAGUGCUUGCCUAGCUAGCAUGCUUAAGGCCCUGGGUCCAGUCCCCAGCACUGCACAGAAAGUGCAGUGACCUUGCUCUGUUAAAACUUUUGUGCCUACCAAUAUACUUCUAUUGCUUAGGUUCUUUUUUCUUUGCUAAACGUAAGUGGGAAAUACUUUAUCAAUGUCUUAAGUCUAGAUAUGGUAUUUUAGCCUUGACCGUAUAUUUAAUGAUUUUUCCUAAGACUUUCAAGGUCAUUGCUAUGGUUGUAUGCCUUUUUUAAAAAAUGGGUUUAACAAAGGUAAAUAAUUUAACAAAGUAGGGAAUGUUUUUAGACAGUGCAGAUCCAUUUGCACUGCUGAGUACAGCUCAGACUUUGAGAGGGUAUUUGCAGAAACAGUUAACUUCAAUGUUUUGCAUUAGCUGUGGACAAAGCUUACAAGUUGCUACUGGAUCAGGAGCAAAAGAAGAGGGCCCUGGAUGUAAUUCAGGCAGGAAAAGAAUACGUGGAACACACUGUGAAAGAGCGAAAAAAGCAACUAAAGAAGGAAGGGAAGCCUACGAAUGUAGAGGAAGAUGAUCCCGAGCUGUUCAAACAGGCAGUCUACAAACAGACCAUGAAGCUGUUUGCUGAGCUGGAGAUUAAAAGGAAAGAGAGAGAAGCC
rnacentral:lncRNA from 1 species